AGAGUUUGAUCCUGGCUCAGAACGAACGCUGGCGGCGUGCCUAACACAUGCAAGUCGAACGAGAAACUCCGGGCUUGCUCGGAGAAGUACAGUGGCGCACGGGUGAGUAACGCGUGGGUAACCUACCCUUGAAUCUGGGAUAACCCCGCGAAAGCGGGACUAAUACCGGAUAUGGUUCCAUAAGCCUCGGCUCUUGGAAUUAAAGGUGACCUCUUCAUGAAAGUUGCCGUUCAGGGACGGGCUCGCGUACCAUUAGCUUGUUGGUAGGGUAAUGGCCUACCAAGGCUACGAUGGUUAGCUGGUCUGAGAGGAUGAUCAGUCACACUGGAACUGGAACACGGUCCAGACUCCUACGGGAGGCAGCAGUGAGGAAUUUUGCGCAAUGGGGGAAACCCUGACGCAGCAACGCCGCGUGAGCGAAGAAGGCCUUCGGGUCGUAAAGCUCUGUCAAGUGGGAAAAAAGCCUUUCGGUUAAUACCCGGAAGGUCUGAUGUACCACUGGAGAAGCACCGCUAACU
rnacentral:rRNA from 1 species